rnacentral:tRNA from 1 species
AUUUAAAUAGCUCAAAUUUAGAGUAUAAUAUUGAAGAUAUUAGGGUGAUUAAAAAGUCUUUAAAUA